UACGGGGGGGGCAAGCGUUGUUCGGAAUUACUGGGCGUAAAGGGCGCGCAGGCGGCGGUGCUGGCCCGGCGUGAAAGCCCCCGGCUCAACCGGGGAGGGUCGUCGGGGACCGCACCGCUUGAGGGCGGUAGGGGCUGGUGGAAUGCCUGGUGUAGUGGUGAAAUGCGUAGAGAUCAGGCGGAACACCCGUGGCGAAGGCGGCCAGCUGGGCCGACCCUGACGCUGAGGCGCGAAGGCGUGGGGAGCGAACGGG
rnacentral:rRNA from 1 species